rnacentral:lncRNA from 1 species
CUAAAUUGCAAAGACUACUUCUAUUGUGGAACUCAAGAACUAAACAAUACUCAUCAAAGCUUUGCUAAAUUGCAAACACCACUUCUAUUGUGGAACUCAACAAAAAUGUUCAUCAAAGCUUUUCUGAAUUGCAUAGACUUCUAAUGUGGAACUAAAGAAAGAAACAAUGCUCAUCAAAGCUUUGGAAAAAUUGCAUACACUUUUAUUGUGGAACCAAAGAAUUAAACAAUGCUCAUCAAAGCUUUAUUAAAUUGCAAGGACUACUUCUAUAGUGGAACUCAAGAAUUAAAUAAUGCUCAUCAAUGCUUUGCUUAAUUGCAUAGACUUCUAUUGUGGAACUCAAGUAUUAAGCAAUGCUCAUCAAAGCAUUGCUAAAUUGUAUAGACUUCUAAUGUGGAAGCCAAGAAUGAAAGAAUGCUCAUGAAUGCUUUGCUAAAUUGCAUAGACUUCUAUUGUUGAACUCAAGAAUCAAACAAUGCUAAUCAAAUCUUUGCUUAAAAUUUAUAGACUUCUAUUAUGGAACAAAAUUAAGUGAUGCUCAUCAAAGCUUCGCUAAAUUGCAUAGACUUCUAAUGUGGAACAUAAGAAUAAAACAAUGCUCAUCAAAGCUUUGCUUAAAUUGCAUAGACUUAUAUUGUGGAACUCAAGAAUAAAGAAAUGCUCUUUAAAGCCUUGCUAAAUUGCGAAGACUACUUUUAUGGAACUCAAGAAUUAAACAAUGCUCAUCAAAGCUUUGCAAAAUUCAAUAGACUUCUAGUGUGAAACUCAAGAAUGAAUCAAUGCUCUUCAAAGCUUUGCUUAAAUUACAUCCACUUCUAUUGUGGAACUCAAGAAUUAAAUAAUGCUCAUCAAAGCUUUGAUAAAUUUGCAAAGACUACUUCUAUUGUGGAACUCAAGAAGGAAUCAAUGCUCAUCAAUGCUUUGCUAAAUUGCAUAGACUUCUAAUGUGGAACCCAAGAAUGAAACAAUGCUUAAGAAAGCUUUGCUAAAUUGCAUAGACUUCUAUUGUGGAACUCAAGAAUCAAACAAUGCUCAUCAAACCUUUGCUAAAUUUCAUAGACUUAUAAUGUUGAACUCAAGAAUAAAACAAUCCUCAUCUAAGCUUUUUUUUAAUUGCAUUCACUUCUAUUGUGAAACUCAAGAAUUAUACAAUGUUCAUCAAAGCUUUGCCAAAUUGCAAAGACUACUUCUAUUGUGGAACUCAAGAACUAAACAUUGUUCAUCAAUGCUUUGCUAAAUUGCAUAGACAUUUAAUGUGGAACCCAAGAAUGAAACAUUGUUCAUGAAAGCUUUGCAAAAUUGCAUAGACUUCUAUUGUCGAACUCAAGAAUCAAACAAUGCUUUAAAUUGCAUAGACUUGUCUUGUGGAACUCAAGAAUGAAACGCUGCUCAUCCAAGCUUUCCCAAUGUGCGUAGACUUGUAAUGUGGAACUCAUGAAUGAAACAAUUCUCGUCAAAGCUUUGCUUAAAUUCGACAGACUAUUAUUAUGGAACUCAAAAAUAAAGAAAUGCUCAUCAAAGCUUCGCUAAAUUGUGAAGACUACUUCUAUUGUGGAACUCAAGAACUAAACGAUACUCAUCAAAGCUUUGCUAAAUUAGAAACACCACUUCUAUUGUGGAACUCAACAAAAAUCUUCAUCAAAGCUUUUCUGAAUUGCAUAGACUUCUAAUGUGGAACUAAAGAAAGAAACAAUGCUUAAAAAUUGCAUACACUUUUAUUGUGGAACCAUAGAAUUAAACAAUGCUAAUCAAAGCUUUAUUAAAUUGCAACGACUACUUCUAUUGUGGAACUCAACAAAAAUCUUCAUCAAAGCUUUUCUGAAUUGCAUAGACUUCUAAUGUGGAACUAAAGAAAGAAACAAUGCUUAAAAAUUGCAUACACUUUUAUUGUGGAACCAUAGAAUUAAACAAUGCUAAUCAAAGCUUUAUUAAAUUGCAAGGACUACUUCUAUUGUGGAACUCAAGAAUUAAAUAAUACUCGUCAAUGCUUUGCUUAAUGGCAUAGACUUCUAUUGUGGAACUCAAGUAUUAAGCAAUGCUCAUCAAAGCAUUGCUAAAUUGCAUAGACUUCUAAUGUGGAACCCAAGAAUGAAAGAAUGCUCAUGAAUGCUUUGCUAAAUUGCAUAGACUUCUAUUAUUGAACUUGAGAAUCAAACAAUGCUAAUCAAAGCUUUGCUUUAAUUUUAUAGACUUCUAUUGUGGAACACAAUUAAAAGAUGCUCAUCAAAGCUUCAAUAAAUUGCAUAGACUUCUAAUGUGGGACACAAGAAUAAAACAAUGCUCAUCAAAGUUUUGCUUAAAUUGCAUAGAGUUAUAUUGUGGAACUCAAGAAUAAAGAAAUGCUCUUCAAAGCCUUGCUAAAUUGCGAAGACUACUUUUAUGGAACUCAAGAAUUAAACAAUGGUCAUCAAAGCUUUGCUAAAUUCAAUAGAAUUCUAAUGUGAAACUCAAGAAUGAAACAAUGCUCUUCAAAGCUUUGCUUAAAUUACAUCCACUUCUAUUGUGGAACUCGAGAAUUAAAUAAUGCUCAUCAAAGCUUUGAUAAAUUGCAAAGACUAUUUCUAUUGUGGAGCUGAAGAAGUAAUCAAUGCUCAUCAAUGCUUUGCUAAAUUGCAAAGACUUCUAAUGUGGAACCCAAUAAUGAAACAAUGCUUAAGAAAGCUUUGCUAAAUUGCAUAGACUUCUAUUAUGGAACUCAAGAACUAAAAAAUGCUCAUCAAUGCUUUGCUUAAAUUGCAUAGACUUCUAUUGUGGAACUCAAGAAUGAAACGAUGCUCAUCAAAGCUUUGCUAAAUUGUGUAGACCUCAAAUGUGGAAAUCAUGAAUGAAACACUGCUCGUCAACGCUUUGCUUAAAUUGCAUAGACUACUAUUGUGGACCUCAAGAAUAAAGAAUUGCUCAUCAAACCUUUGCUAAAUUACGAAGACUACUUCUAUUGUGGAACUCAAGAAUUAAACAAUGCUCAUCAAAGCUUUGCUAAAUUGCAUAGACUUAUAAUGUGGAACUCAAUAAUGAAACAAUGCUCAUCAAAGCUUUAAUUAAAGUGCAUAGACUUCUAUUUUGGAACUCAAGAAUUAAACAAUGCUCAUCAAAACUUUGCUAAGUUUCAUAGACUUC